rnacentral:miRNA from 1 species
UGUUUUUCACUCGUGUUUGCCGCUAAAAGUGGGCUAAUUUAUAGAUUUUUCAACAGUGUGGUUGAUUCAUAACCCCAUAAGUGUGUGCGUGUGUAUGUGUGUCCGCAGUGUAAAUA